rnacentral:rRNA from 9 species
AACGUUAUUCGGCGCUGGGUGAGUCGGCUCCUAAGGCGAGGCCGAGAGGCGUAGUCGAUGGAAAGCUGGUUAAUAUUCCAGCACUUGCUAUUACUGCGAUGGGGUGACGGAGAAGGUUAGGUGUGCCACCUGUUGGAUGGUGGUCCAAGCGAUUAGGCGUGCUCUUUAGGCAAAUCCGGAGAGCUUAGCUGAGGCGUGAUGGGGA